rnacentral:rRNA from 1 species
UACGUAGGGUGCAAGCGUUGUCCGGAAUUAUUGGGCGUAAAGGGCUCGUAGGCGGUUUGUCGCGUCGGGAGUGAAAUCCACUGGCUUAACUGGUGGCUUGCUUUCGAUACGGGCAGACUGGAGGUAUGCAGGGGAGAACGGAAUUCCUGGUGUAGCGGUGAAAUGCGCAGAUAUCAGGAGGAACACCGGUGGCGAAGGCGCACAUCUGGCCCGAUACUGACGCUGAGGCGCGAAAGCUAGGGGAGCAAACGGG